GGAACCAUAGCUCAGGGAUAGGACACCUGCUUUGCAUGCAGAAGGUCGCAGGUUCAAUCCCUGGUAUCUCCA